CGAAUUUGAACUACAUUAUUACUAAUUUAUUAUGAGGUUAAACCCACCCCUUAGUUUAGAUAGAUCAAAAAAAAAAAAAUAAAUAAAAUAAAACAUAUAGAGGAUUAGACGAGCAAAAGUAUGCACUAUGGCCAAGACCCCCCUAUAAAACGCCCGCUAGUCCCUCCAAGUUUCCACACCAACCCAGAUUUGUAAAAGAGAAUACAAUGUACAACGAAGGGAACAUGAAACUAAACCGUGUGAAAGCAUAGAGCCGGUCCUUAAGGUAGUCCGUGCAGGCGCAGCCUAGGGCCCCACUUUGGAAGGAUCCCUAAAAAUUUUAUAUUUCAUGUAAAUAACAUAUAAAGAAAAAGUAAAAAAAAUAUCAUAAUUCAUUUGUUAGUGUAGUAAUUUUUUUUUUUUUUCAAUUUCCCAUCUCUUCAUUUCUAUAAAAUGUUUAAAUCAACUAUCACAUAGUCUUGAAGAUUGUAUUUUAAAAUAAUAAAAACUUGGAAUUUAUAUUUUGGUUUUCAAUAAUUUAUUAUUCAAUGAAGUAUUUCAAUAUCCGAUUCAUUAGUAUGAUGUUGUAGUAAAAACAAAAGAGAAACAAUUGACGUUGUUGAAUUUAUUAUACUUGUCAAUCAAGUUAUAUUGUUCUUUACUCUCCUGAUCAUCAAAUUUUAUUAUUCUUUAAUGUCAAUCUUAGACUCUUGACUGCAAACAUUUAGUAUAUUUGCGUCUAAAAAUGAGAGACGGGUAAUAUUUAAAUAAUGUUUGUAUAUCUAUCUUCUUUUGAUAUUAAUUUUUAGGGGCUUUUAAAUCCAGGUCCAAAAACAUAGAUGGUUGUUAGGAGUGAAACAGUUAUCUAAUUACAUGCUUUUAUUUUUUAUACUCAUUUUAUAUUAAUAUCUUCAAACAAAAAAAACUAACAUACUAACAUAAAUAUAUCUGAUAAACAUUGUACCUUAACUUAAGUAACAAAUAUAUGCAGAGUGUUGAUAUUCUCCCCCGGUGUCUUAUUUCCUUACCCACCAUUUAAUAAAAAUGUUAAUGACAUGUUUAACCUUUUAAACGAAGACUUUUAAACCCUAUUUACUUAAUUACUAAAUAUUCAAAAAAACAUAAUUUAAAAAUAUUAAAUAAUUGUGGAUGGGAUGUGAUAUCUGUAGUGGAGAGAGGUAGGUGGGAUUAUCAUGUGGGGUGGGAAAGGAGGACAUUGGGGUGGGGCUAGUAGGACACUGGUUGGGAUUGUCCUUUUUUUGAAUGUAUAUUAUACUUAUAAGCUAGAUAUGAAACCUAACUAAAAGGUUUUU